CCAUGAUAUAACAAGAUGUUACAAGGUUGUCAACACAAGGUUGUGACAAUCUUGUCAUAUCAAGGAUGUAACAGAUUUGUCAGAACAACCUUGCAGCAAGUACAAUAACUUUGACAAGGUUGUUACAAGUUGUCAACAAGUUCUUCCAAACCUGUUAACAACUUGUGACAAGCAGUGCCAAUACAUCUUGUUGAUGGCUUGUUGGCAGAGUUGUUAAAAUAUGCAAGAAUUUUACGUGUGUACGAGUGCGGCAGCUAAAUCAUUGAAUCCACGCG